rnacentral:lncRNA from 1 species
CGGCUGGAUUCCAGCGGCUGGAUUAGGCGGGCUAUGAAAAAGUAGUGCAGAAGACGGGCGCCGGAGUCACAUCAAGGUCGCAGGAUCGAAACCCAUCAGGAACGGUUCGGCUCCGUUACCUGUGUAGGCUCUGAACAUACUUGUGCCGAACUUCCCCGAAAGAGCGCCAUCUCGGCCUUCCUAGGUCGCUGCUCUACGGGUGAGGACGCUGGUGCGGCGGGUUCUGAUGGUCAGGACCGCAAGGGGACCGGGGGAGGGGGCGCCGUACCGUCCUCGCGCUUUUCAGGCAGAAUUGCAGAGUUUGCAGCGUAUGUAAAUGCAAUUAGUUGGUUAGCGACUAUAUUCUAAAUAUGACACAUUCCCAGGUCAAUUGUGCUCUCGCGAUGUGUUCCCGGUUGCGCCACCAGGUUCUGUAUCCGGGCUUGGUAUCGAGCACAAGUGAUGCAGGACUUUUCCUGUUAGACACAUUAUUAAUUCAAUUUCUCUAGGUGACCCCAAGGGACUAGCUUUGCAACAUUCAAGUAUCGAUUGCGACAAACUCCGAUAUCUCUGAAACCGAAAAAAAUAGAACCGCUCUAUACGUUAUAAGCUUUCUAUCAGUCCUUUCAGAAGGGUCUGGACCGCUUCCUGGGUCGACUUUUCCUCAAUGGCGCCCAAGCCCGGCUCCUCUGUCAACACGCGCUCGACUACUAGACUGGUAUCAUUAUGCAUCAAGAAAGGCGUAAUCUAGCCGUUGGAUGUAAGGAGGUAAGUGUUUAAAUGCCGGGCGACCGGUGAUUCAAUGUGAGUUGGGCUCGUCUUGGAGCAGCGCUAGCGUUUGCGGUGAGCCGGGCCUGGGGUUCCUCCCCUCUCCGGAGGCGAGGAGCAUGGGGGUCAUUCGGGGGUCUCUCCUCGGGUGAGCGUGCGUGUCUCGUACGUUUUUGGGGCCCUGGCUAGUCCACGGCUGUCGUCCCACAUGUAACCUCUAUCAGCUAACGAGCAGUGAUGUGGGCGGAAACCGGCAGGGAGGUGUAGGUAUCUAGCACGGGUGUGUGAGACCGGUGUAGAUGUUUAGAGGGUGUGAGGUGUGAGGGGGGACUAGCCGCACAGGUAGCGGCUUAGUUGCGGCUAUGAAAAAGUAGUGCAGCGGCUAUGAAAAAGUAGUGCAGAAGACGGGCGCGCAAAUGUGCGCGUGUGGCGCGGUUGGCGUCGGGGCAUGGUAGGGUGCGCGAAGCUUCGAUUGAAGCGGCCGAACUUGGCAGCCGAGUCGCAGCCCAAGGGGCACACAUACAUACUGUUCUUACGCACACUAAAGCUGAACGCUACCUGAGAUUCAAGCACCACUUGAGCAGGGUUCAAUCAUUCGAGUAGUUUUGGUCUUCGCGUAUGGAUGAUUUCUUUUUUAUUUUUAGAUAGGGCCAAAAAUGAUCCCGAAGAGAAGCAACGGCAAGCAAAGCGAUACCUCGAAGUGUGUUCCCACAUGUAACCUCUAUUCGCCCUGGCUUAGUCCACGGCUGUCGUCCCACAUGUAACCUCUAUCAGCUAACAAA